GAUUUAGCUUGUGUCUAAUUCUACUACACGGAUAACUGUAGUAAUUCUAGAGCUAAUACGUGCCUCGAUGCCCUGAUCCGCAAGGUGAGGGGUGCACUUAUUAGAUUACAGACCAAACGACUCACGUCGUAGUUUGUGGUGACUCUGGAUAACUUUGUAUGAUCGCAGCUGGCCUUGUUGUCGGCGACGGAUCCAUCAAAUAUCUGCCCUAUCAACUUUCGAUGGUAGGAGACAUGCCUACCAUGGUUAUGACGGGUAACGGGGAAUCAGGGUUCGAUUCCGGAGAGGGAGCCUGAGAAACGGCUACCACAUCCAAGGAAGGCAGCAGGCGCGUAAAUUACCCACUCUCUGAACGAGGAGGUAGUGAAGAUAAAUAUCGAUACAGAACUCAAAUGAGGCUCUGUACUCGAUAUGAGUGCAAUAUAAAUUGUACAACGUGUAUCUAUUGGAGGGUCAGUGAGCCCAUAGCCGCCGCGCUAAUUC
rnacentral:rRNA from 1 species